rnacentral:rRNA from 1 species
UAGAGUUUGAUCCUGGCUCAGAGCGAACGCUGGCGGCAGGCCUAACACAUGCAAGUCGAACGGACCCUUCGGGGUUAGUGGCGGACGGGUGAGUAACACGUGGGAACGUGCCUUUAGGUUCGGAACAACUCAGGGAAACUUGAGCUAAUACCGAAUGUGCCCUUCGGGGGAAAGAUUUAUCGCCUUUAGAGCGGCCCGCGUCUGAUUAGGUAGUUGGUGGGGUAAAGGCCUACCAAGCCUACGAUCAGUAGCUGGUCUGAGAGGAUGAUCAGCCACAUUGGGACUGAGACACGGCCCAAACUCCUACGGGAGGCAGCAGUGGGGAAUCUUGCGCAAUGGGCGAAAGCCUGACGCAGCCAUGCCGCGUGAAUGAUGAAGGUCUUAGGAUUGUAAAAUUCUUUCACCGGGGACGAUAAUGACGGUACCCGGAGAAGAAGCCCCGGCUAACUUCGUGCCAGCAGCCGCGGUAAUACGAAGGGGGCUAGCGUUGCUCGGAAUUACUGGGCGUAAAGGGAGCGUAGGCGGACAGUUUAGUCAGAGGUGAAAGCCCAGGGCUCAACCCUGGAAUUGCCUUUGAUACUGGCUGUCUUGAGUAUGGGAGAGGUAAGCGGAACUCCGAGUGUAGAGGUGAAAUUCGUAGAUAUUCGGAAGAACACCAGUGGCGAAGGCGGCUUACUGGCCCAUUACUGACGCUGAGGCUCGAAAGCGUGGGGAGCAAACAGGAUUAGAUACCCUGGUAGUCCACGCCGUAACGAUGAGAGCUAGUUGUCGGCAUGCAUGCAUGUCGGUGACGCAGCUAACGCAUUAAGCUCUCCGCCUGGGGAGUACGGUCGCAAGAUUAAAACUCAAAGGGAUUGACGGGGGCCCGCACAAGCGGUGGAGCAUGUGGUUUAAU